CGCUAGCGAUAGGCUUAACCACAUGCAAGUCGAGGGGCAUCACGAAUUAGCAAUAGUUUGGUGGCGACCGGCGCACGGGUGCGUAACACGUAUACAACCUACCUUCAAUUGGGGAAUAACCUGGAGAAAUUUGGACUAAUACCCCAUAGUAAGCAGAGGAGGCAUCUUUUUUGUUUUAAAGAUUUAUUGAUUGGAGAUGGGUAUGCGUAGGAUUAGCUAGUUGGUAAGGUAACGGCUUACCAAGGCAACGAUCCUUAGGGGUUCUGAGAGGAAGGUCCCCCACACUGGUACUGAGACACGGACCAGACUCCUACGGGAGGCAGCAGUGAGGAAUACUGGUCAAUGGUCGAGAGACUGAACCAGCCAAGUCGCGUGAAGGAAGACGGCUCUAUGAGUUGUAAACUUCUUUUGUACAGGAGUAAAGUGAGACACGUGUGUUUUAUUGCAAGUACUGUACGAAUAAGCAUCG
rnacentral:rRNA from 1 species